rnacentral:rRNA from 1 species
UCUGGAACUGCUGGGGGGGGGGGGAACCGCCGGACAGUUCGUGAGGUUUUGGCCCUCUCAAAAGCCAACAACCCCAAGCUAGUUUUCCUUUGUGAAACUAGGCAAGUAUCAGUUAAAGUGGAGAAGUUGUGUUGGAGACUCGGUCUGAAAGGAUUUCAUGGCGUGGAUAAUGAUGGUAGAAGUGGUGGCUUGGCUCUUUUCUAG